AGAAGAGUCUGCAUGAUUUUCUUUUCAGUAGAUGAUAUUUACACAUUCCCUGGUUUGGAGCAAUUUUGUGUCAUUGCUUUACUUUUAUAUCGUUUGGUUUUAGAGACAAAACUCUGAUGGCGGUUCUGACUGAGACCAUGCUGAUCGUCAACAUGUUACUGAGUGUCUUUUUUCUUCCUGGUGAUUUGGCUGAUUACUGUUAUGGUCAAACACCAGCUCUCAACAUCACUACACCAAAUAACAUGGAAGCUCUGACUGGAACUUGUUUGCAAAUCCCAUGUAGCUAUGAGACAGAGAAUGUUAAGUAUAACAGCAAUAAAACUAUCUAUGGAGUUUGGAUGAAAGGUGACACACAACACUAUUUAUAUCCAGAGGUCGUUAUUUUCAACAGC